UACGUAGGGUGCAAGCGUUAAUCGGAAUUACUGGGCGUAAAGCGUGCGCAGGCGGUUUUGUAAGGCUGUCGUGAAAGCCCCGGGCUCAACCUGGGAAUUGCGAUGGAGACUGCAAGGCUUGAAUCUGGCAGAGGGGGGUAGAAUUCCACGUGUAGCAGUGAAAUGCGUAGAGAUGUGGAGGAACACCGAUGGCGAAGGCAGCCCCCUGGGUCAAGAUUGACGCUCAUGCACGAAAGCGUGGGGAGCAAACAGG
rnacentral:rRNA from 1 species